rnacentral:misc_RNA from 1 species
GCUUGCUUGCCUUGGGCAAUGCGGGGUGUGGUUCGUUUGANAUCGUUGUNUCUUUCGAACGUGAGGGUGUGUGAGUGGUGAUCGGGANGGCUGUUCUGUUUGGCUCCUUGCCCAUGGUUUUGGAACUUUCAGCAGGCUAUAACCCUUGUCAUGCAUACAUCGUGCUGGGGGCCUGGUGUUCAAUGGUGGUUCCUGUGUUGCCUACCCAUUUAUCGGUAUUCGUGUGCCGCGAAGACCCUUUCCUUCCACACACCCCCCUUGUGGUGGUUGAUGGGGGAUUUCUAAUGUGGGGUGUGGUUUGUUUGAUAGUGUUGUAUCGGCUCAUGUGCCCACACGUGUAUAUUGUUCCCUUGGAUGCGGUGCAUGUGGUGAAUGUGGGCUGGUGUUUAUGCCUCGUUUCGUCGCUGUGAUAUAACAUGGUUGCCUUUGAAAGACACUUUGCCGUAGUGCCAGCCUUGCUAUCCCAUUGGUGGUUGCAAUUCUUGCAUGUCGUGCAUAGUUGUUAAUGGAUGCUACCUGGUUGAUC